rnacentral:lncRNA from 1 species
GGGCGCGGGCCCGAAGCUGGGCCCCGGCGGGCGGCGGCGGCGGCGGAGGCGGCGGUGGCGGCGGCGGCGGGCGGCGGCGGCGGAGGCAGCGGCCGCCUCGGUGCUCGGUGCGCGCCGCUCCGCUCCCUGGUGUGUUGAUUCUUCCCCCAGCUGCUGCUUAAUGGAGUCCGGGCGCUGGCGUCACAGGAAAUGCCUAUACUGCCCUCCUCGCUCACUUCCGGCAGCAGAAGGGACACGCCCCAUGGUCCUGACUAGGAAACUUUGGAGAUGUGAUGCUGGCCUUUGUCUGCUGACCGUGGGCUUGGAGGUGGAGCCAUUUAAAAAAGGAUUAGCCGAGGAUGGAGCUGUUGUCAUUAGGAUACCACACGUGGCAAACGCGACAUGACCGCCUACCUCUUGGAUGACUCACAGGCCUAACUCGUGAUUAACUUGGAGGGUGGGCAAGCAGAACUGGAUGUCCCUCCCGAAACAGGAGGGCUGUUCCCCAACUAUGGGACAGCAACCGUGUCUUGACUUCAGAAAGCAGCCCUGCCGUGACAGGAGGACUGAGCCCGACCACGUUUGUAUGUCUCACGGAGAUUUGACAGUUUUGAGCAGCUUCUCUAGCGACCAGGGAGGCCAGCUGGAUUGCCCAUAGAAGUCAAAAGAAGGCAUCAGAUCCCCUGAAACUGGAGUUACAGAUGGUUGUGACCCAAAUUUUUUUUUUUUUUUGAGACAAAGUGUCUCUACGUAGCCCUAGCUGUCCUAGAACUCACUAUGUAGACCAAGCUGCACUCAAAUUGACAGAGAUCCACCUGCCUCAGCUUCCUGAGUGUUGGGAUAAAAGCAGGAGAGCUUAGAGCUGAACAGGACAAAGCAACCUUGGGAGUACUGGGACCACAGAGCCAAAACCAAGAAAAUCUUCGCCGUUGAAUAGAUCCACCACCACCCUCAUGACAGCCAUCUUUAUGAAUUUGUGGACCCGUUAACACUUUUUAAGAACACGAACAGGCUGGGUAUGUAGUUCCGCAGUAGAGAGCUUGCCUAGCAGGUAAAAGACCUUUGGUUCUGGAGUGCGGGCAGGAUGGGGAUAUUUUUCGGAAAACAAAACAAAAGAAUCUGAUCAUAGGCAAGGAGCCUUCCUUCUGUUUCUGCCCCAUAGACUAGAAACACUGUGUGGGUCGCGUGCUCACAGCCUGACAGCAGCACAGAGAAGGAGGGGCACUUGAGACUGUGCAUUAGUGCAGGCUCGGUCCUGAGCCUGGCCCACAGCACGGCAGAGAUACUCUUUCCGCAGCAGCUCUUCAGGGAAAGAGAAGCCUUGUCAUCCGAAGAUGGGGUCCUCACACUGCAGCUGCGCUGUUUCAGAGCCCACCUGCUCUAAACUGCCCUGUCUCCGACUCCUCAUCAGGCACCUGCCCUUCCGAUAGAGUGGCGCCCUGCUCCCUCCUUUCCUGCAGUCUGGCUGUGUCUCCCAAGGUGAUCAGGAACCUACUUCCCUCAGCCACUCCCUGCCCCACCCCCAAGAUGACCAGGCACCUCCCUCAGCCACUCCCUGCCUCACCCCACCCCCCAAGUCCCCACUACCACUCAGAGCAGAAACUUCAGCAGCCAUCAUGUGACCUUGAAGAUGGAAGUCACAUGCCAGAGAAGACAGAAGGCAGAGACACAGAUAACUUCAAAGAGCUAACUGAAUAGCACCUGACUCCCACUCUUUGUAAAGCAAAGAGAAUAAAUCCUUGUAUGUAAACGACUAGAUUUUCUGUUGCAGGCAGUUGAACCUGAUUGUAACAGAUAAUGCGAUAGCCAAGUGUUUUCCUGUUCCUAUCUACACUUGCAAAAGAGCAGAAAUAACAUGACUGACGACUUCAGUCUCUGGUGGGGCCUCCCCUCUGGCAGAGCUCUGUAAACACUGUAAAACUGGUCUGUCUGUGCUAGCUUUCUUACAGUUACUGAAUUUGAAGUCUUUCUCAGGGUAGGGGUGGGGUGAAGCUGGACUCUCCUAAGAACAUGACGUUGCAUAGCUGUUUAAACACGGGGACAGGAUGAGGAGAGGUGAUAAGGAUUCAGAGCAGGGCGGCAGGCUGCCCCUUACUGCCUCUGUGAAAUGCACAUUUGGAGUCUGUAAAGCCCUGGCACGGAGCUUAGAGGAAGCGGGCGGGACCACGCUCUUGGUUCAGCUGUCUAAGCACAGCCUGGAUAGCAAGAGGAGGUGAAGUCAGAAUCUCUAACUCACAUCUUUCUUGAUCUUGGAGCCAUCCUAACAGUAGCUUUGGGUUGGGGAUAUAACUGACAGACAACAAACUGUGAAUACUAAAAGUAGAUAAUCUGACAUGUAUAUGAAAAGUAUCACUACAGCCCAUAACUGUUGUUGUUCAU